GUUCAUUUCAAAACUUUCCAAAAGGCAUAUAACCACACGCCAGUAACACCAUAGAUAAUUAAAAUAAAACAACAAUUACAUCAACAUGCAACUACAAUUACAUAAUCAUAACUUUUUCCUAAAAAACUUCAACACCAGUAAUUCAAAGCUUCAAGCAUCCAUGUGUUUUCCUGAUGAAGUGUUCCAUGCUUUCUCUAAGACAAGAUUCUUCACAAUAGUAAUUGAUCUCACAAACUUCAAAAAACUAAUGUAUCCAAGGUCUGAAAUCAAAAAAGAAAAUUAUCACUAAACAGAUUAAGGCAAAACAACAUUAAUGUCAGUUUACCUGAUAAGAAGUCACAGUUACCAUGCUUAUAAACUGUUUUGCGGCUAAUUCACCAAUAUAUAGAAGAUUAAAAUAAACAACGAAAGAGAUACAAAAAGUUCAAGGGCUUUAGUUAUCACAAUAGCACAAAUCUCAUUUCACUCGAAAAGAAAAAGAUAAACUUACAGAGCACGAGUUAGAUUAGAUGAAUCUGAUCGGAAAUUGCGAGACUGACAACGGCUAGUGGCUGAAAUUUUAGAUCUGGCUGGCGGCCCUUCUAUGUUUGAAACGUUUCAAAGAAUCAAAAUAGAUCACAAAUCUAGGGUUAAGGACAAACAGUCAAAAGCAGCCACGAAUCAAAAUAUAGAAGAUUGAGAUUUAUAAAUCUUCGAUUGAUUUGAAAUACCUUUACAUGCGAAUUGGGAUAAGAAUGAAUGGAAGAUGUAGAGACGAAAGUUUCAUAGUGCCUCGGCGGCUUGAACAGUCCUAGACGAAGAGCAGUUUGGAUUGUCUUAAAAAAAGUGGC
rnacentral:lncRNA from 1 species